AUCAAAUCUUGCUUAGGCUCUGGAUUUGGUCAUGGCUGUGAUGAUGAUGGUAGUUACAGUUAAAAAUCAGUAGUGACAUGCAUUUACGGUGCCAUACUUCACAAAUGCAAUAUCCUACCCUUGACAGGAAAAACUGCACAAUUUAGUGAACCAGUUGGAUGUGUUACUUAAGUACUGCCAAACACACACUGCUCCUUGCCCACUGUUGCCAUGGUAGACACGGCAGCAACACACCAUUACUGAAACGGAGCACUUUUACCUGUUGGAAUAAUAAUGCACAUUGAUUUUUUUUUAAUUAAAAGAUUCCAAUUGAAAGCAUAUGAGACUUAUCCUCAUCUUCGAGUGAAAGAAGCACCCCGAGCAAGAGCCGCACGCGUCCUGAAAACACUGGGAUGAGAGAGGAUUUAAAAAGGGACUCUUAUCUCGACACAUCUAGAACAAGCCGGCCAACCAAAAACAGCAACACCGCAUCUCUCCCUGUGGAAUUGAUUGAAGAGAAACCUGAGGAAGUAUACCCUUUAGAGGAAAGAGCUACAGUAGGGUAGUGAGAUCCACACCCAGAAACAUGAGCAACACUUGGCUUAUUAAGAAAAAGCUGGAGCAGAUCAAGGCAGAAAUGCAGAGACUUUCAGAACGGCACGCUCUCACUCGCCCUGAACGGAAAGCGUAUCAUCCUUUUGUGUGGAACAGCCUGAGUCCUUACAGAGACACCACAGAGAUUGACUAUCUGAUCGCCAUGUCCUCUGGCCAUCGUAGCAGGGAUCGAAGAGCUUCAGGAAGAACUGUCCAUCUGUCACACUGACACAUCCUGACCAGUCAUUUAAAGAAUACUGGACAUUUAUGAUUUUCACAUCGAGCGUAGUGAGGAAAGCAACAUAUUUACACUUUUACAUAGUUAAAGAGCAUUUAAUGUGCUAAAGCCUACCCAAAUCUCCUCUUUAUUCAAUUUAAUGACUGGCCUUUCAGUAUUUGCCUGAAAAUAUUUUCUUCUUUUAGUAAAGUCUUUUAGUCUUGUUUGUUCAAUGUUUUACAAGCUCCAGCACUGAUCACGCAGAGUACGUCACAGAGAUGCUCUGAACAUCCCGCCGGCAAAUAAGAUUAAAAAGAAUGACUGUGAUAUAAUUUAUUGUGUCCUUCAUGUAAGUCCCCAUCAUAUUUAAAAUUCAAGCAUGUUGGAUCAUGCUGCUUGAAGAUGGAAUUCAUAAAACGCCUAAAGAGCAUCUUUUAGAUAUGCAUAUGUGCCAUUGUGUGUGAAACCCCUUUGAAAUUCUUAGAUGUUCCAUGCUGAAACUGAUGAAAGAGAAAGAUGUGUGCAUCCACAUGGUUGGAGGAGAAGUAUUAAAAGAAUGCUGCAGCCGGUAUGAAAGGGUUUAAGAUUAUCAAAGAGAUUUAGGAGAAUAAAUUGGUAGGCAGUUCACUGAAGUGAGGGAUUAUGGCGCAAGAAAAGUGUAAAUGUUUAAUGGCUCACUCUCUCUUUCUCUCUCUCUCGUUUUUUUAAUUUAUUUAUUCUUGGAAGGCACUCAUGUCUGGCUUUAGUUACUGAUAAGCCCAAAGGAGAAAGUAGGUUGCAGCCUUUUUCCUCAUUCUACGCACUCUAUCUCUUUCUGGAGAAGUUUGGAUGGGGAAGUAAGAGAUUUAAAAUAUGAGGCCACGGCUUAUUAAAGUUAAGCUACUACGUUUUCCAGUGGACUCAAGUGCAAUUCUUAAAGCCAUGAUAGAAAACGGUGUCUGUUUUUCUCUCCAUCCACUUACCUAAGCACAAAAUCAAGGUUUUUGGGGGCUGUGUAAAAAAAAUAAUAAUAAGGGAUUUGGAUUUAUCUGGUAAAAAGUACAAAAUAGGCAAAAGAGCCACUUGACGCAAGAGUGUGCUCUCUUUUUUCCUAAGUGAUUUACUUUUUUCCCCUCUCUCUCUCUCUCUCUCUCUCUCUGCAGUCAUCUCUUGUUUUUCCAUGAACUCCAAUUUCAAGAAGCUUUGAAAAGAAGCUCCCCCUGCCACCUUUUUUUUUUUUUUGCCAAAGCGCAGUGCAAUUCACCCCGGCUUAUCACUGCUCCUGCAGUCCAGGGAUAUGAUAUUUACCAUUACCAUUAAAUCCACCAGAGACUGCUUUAAAUUUAAAUACU